CCUACGGGGGGCAGCAGUAGGGAAUCUUCGGCAAUGGACGAAAGUCUGACCGAGCAACGCCGCGUGAGUGAAGAAGGUUUUCGGAUCGUAAAACUCUGUUGUUAGAGAAGAACAAGGAUGAGAGUAACUGUUCAUCCCUUGACGGUAUCUAACCAGAAAGCCACGGCUAACUACGUGCCAGCAGCCGCGGUAAUACGUAGGUGGCAAGCGUUGUCCGGAUUUAUUGGGCGUAAAGCGAGCGCAGGCGGUUUCUUAAGUCUGAUGUGAAAGCCCCCGGCUCAACCGGGGAGGGUCAUUGGAAACUGGGAGACUUGAGUGCAGAAGAGGAGAGUGGAAUUCCAUGUGUAGCGGUGAAAUGCGUAGAUAUAUGGAGGAACACCAGUGGCGAAGGCGGCUCUCUGGUCUGUAACUGACGCUGAGGCUCGAAAGCGUGGGGAGCAAACAGGAUUAGAUACCCCGGUAGUC
rnacentral:rRNA from 1 species